rnacentral:rRNA from 1 species
GUUCCGCCAGGAGCACAGCUGGGUAGCUAAGUCGGGAAUGGAUAAACGCUGAAAGCAUCUAAGCGUGAAGCCAACCUCAAGAUGAGAUUUCCCAUAGCGUAAGCUAGUAAGAUCCCUUGAAGAACACAAGGUUGAUAGGUCGGGGGUGUAAGCAUGGUAACAUGUUCAGCUGACCGAUACUAAUAGAUCGAGGGCUUGACCAAAUA